CGCUCCUGUGACCUAGUGGUUAGAGUGUCCGCCUCGAAUGCGGAAGAUCGUGUGUUCGAACCACAGAGGAGUCGA